AGAGUUUGAUCCUGGCUCAGGACGAACGCUGGCGGCGUGCUUAACACAUGCAAGUCGAACGCUGAAGCUCUGGCCCUUGUGGUGGGGUGGGAUGAGUGGCGAACGGGUGAGUAACACGUGGGUAAUCUGCCCCAUACUCUGGGAUAACCCCUGGAAAACGGGGGCUAAUACCGGAUAGGACAUUCUGCCGCAUGGUGGGUGUGGAAAGUUCCGGCGGUAUGGGAUGGGCCCGCGGCCUAUCAGCUUGUUGGUGGGGUAAUGGCCUACCAAGGCGACGACGGGUAGCCGGCCUGAGAGGGUGACCGGCCACACUGGGACUGAGACACGGCCCAGACUCCUACGGGAGGCAGCAGUGGGGAAUCUUGCGCAAUGGGCGAAAGCCUGACGCAGCAACGCCGCGUGGGGAUGAAGGCCUUCGGGUUGUAAACCUCUUUCACCAUCGACGAAGCCCUUCGGGUGACGGUAGGUGGGAAGAAGCACCGGCUAACUACGUGCC
rnacentral:rRNA from 1 species